rnacentral:lncRNA from 12 species
AUACAGGAAGCAUUUAUAACACUUUUUGGCACUUUUAAAGAAAUGGUCCCUCUUUAAAAUAUGUAUAUACUUUUUUCAUGAAUACUUUGGUGGAAGUCAAAUCAACAGCAAUCAGGCUAUGAAUAAUUCAAUAGUAAAUUAGCCCAAGUAAAAAUGUAAGUGGGUUGUAGAGAAAUUAGCAAAAUAAAUUAUCAUAUUUCAAACAUAGCCAAUUUAUUCUUCAGAUUUAACAAAGGCAUAUUUUUUGUUAAUUUUUAAAGGAACAUAUUUCAGAGGGCUAAGGACAGAAGAUGAUCUGAAAAAUAUUGGCUGUGAAUACAGUGGGUGGGAGCCCACAUGCUUGAAACAUUAACUUUCCUCAAUCGUUGAGAGCAGUAUCCACCAAUAAACAUAAUUAUCAUGAGAACUCAAAUCCUUAGCAUAGCCAAGAUAUAUGUCAACAUAUGCAUCACAAAAAUGAACAAGAGCCACCUGGACCACCAACUGAUGAUAGAUACAACAGUUCUUGCAAAUGCCAGGCUAAGGCCUGGGACAUCAUUCUCUGAUUUGAUAAUCAUCUCCUUGAGAAGUUCAAUCUAGAAAGGACCACUGCUGAGCUGAAAGUGUCUGUGAGUGAGUGAAUGAAGAUCUCUAUUAGACACGUGCAGUUCUCUGCAUAUGCAAUCUUUCCUACUUGUUCUAAUAACCAUUUUGAAAAGUAAUGUUAUUAAAGAAGAAAAGUAAUGUUACUGAUUACAAAGAGGGGUGGGGGCACGCGUAAAUCUCAUGUUAUUAAAGCACGAAACUCCUCACGUUUUAUACUUUACCAGUGUUCCGUCAUCACAGGCAUCCAUAAAUGGCAGUAAUAAAAACUUUUUUCUUUGUAUGUAUAUAUAUUAA